rnacentral:tRNA from 1 species
GAGGGUAUAGCUCAGUGGGAAAGUGUAUGCUUAGCAUGUACCAGGUAGGUCCUGGGUUCAAUCCCCAGUAACUUCA